CGUUGGGNGCUCUCCCNUAUGGUCGACCUGCAGGCGGCCGCGAAUUCACUAGUGAUUAGAGUUUGAUCCUGGCUCAGGACGAACGCUGGCGGCGUGCCUAACACAUGCAAGUCGAACGGAGAAUUUUAUUUCGGUAGAAUUCUUAGUGGCGAACGGGUGAGUAACGCGUAGGCAACCUGCCCUUUAGACGGGGACAACAUUCCGAAAGGAGUGCUAAUACCGGAUGUGAUCAUCUUGCCGCAUGGCAGGAUGAAGAAAGAUGGCCUCUACAAGUAAGCUAUCGCUAAAGGAUGGGCCUGCGUCUGAUUAGCUAGUUGGUAGUGUAACGGACUACCAAGGCGAUGAUCAGUAGCCGGUCUGAGAGGAUGAACGGCCACAUUGGGACUGAGACACGGCCCAAACUCCUACGGGAGGCAGCAGUGGGGAAUCUUCCGCAAUGGACGAAAGUCUGACGGAGCAACGCCGCGUGAGUGAUGAAGGAUUUCGGUCUGUAAAGCUCUGUUGUUUAUGACGAACGUGCAGUGUGUGAACAAUGCAUUGCAAUGACGGUAGUAAACGAGGAAGCCACGGCUAACUACGUGCCAGCAGCCGCGGUAAUACGUAGGUGGCGAGCGUUGUCCGGAAUUAUUGGGCGUAAAGAGCAUGUAGGCGGCUUAAUAAGUCGAGCGUGAAAAUGCGGGGCUCAACCCCGUAUGGCGCUGGAAACUGUUAGGCUUGAGUGCAGGAGAGGAAAGGGGAAUUCCCAGUGUAGCGGUGAAAUGCGUAGAUAUUGGGAGGAACACCAGUGGCGAANGCGCCUUUCUGGACUGUGUCUGACGCUGAGAUGCGAAAGCCAGGGUAGCGAACGGGAUUAGAUACCCCGGUAGUCCUGGNCCGUAAACGAUGGGUACUAGGUGUANGANGUAUCGACCCNUUCUGUGNCCGGANUUAACGCAAUAANUACCCCG
rnacentral:rRNA from 1 species